rnacentral:rRNA from 1 species
CCUACGGGAGGCAGCCGUGAGGAAUAUUGGUCAAUGGGCGCGAGCCUGAACCAGCCAAGUAGCGUGAAGGAUGACUGCCCUACGGGUUGUACACUUCUUUUAUAAAGGCAUAAAGUGAGGCACGUGUGCCUUUUUGUAUGUACUUUAUGAAUAAGGAUCGGCUAACUCCGUGCCCGCAGCCGCGGUAAUACGGAGGAUCCGCGCGUUAGCCGGAUUUAUUGGGUUUAAAGGGAGCGUAGAUGGGUUGUUAAGUCAGUUGUGAAAGUGUGCGGCUCAACCGUAAAAUUGCAAUUGAUACUGGCAGCCUUGAGUACAGUUGAGGUAGGCGGAAUUCGUGGUGUAGCGGUGAAAUGCUUAGAUAGCACGAAGAACUCCGAUUGCGAAGGCAGCCUACUAAACUGCCACUGACAUUGAUGCUCGAAAGUGUGGGUAUCAAACAGGAUUAGAGACCCUUGUAGUC